rnacentral:rRNA from 1 species
AUUGAACGCUGGCGGCAGGCCUAACACAUGCAAGUCGAGCGGAUGAAGGGAGCUUGCUCCUGGAUUCAGCGGCGGACGGGUGAGUAAUGCCUAGGAAUCUGCCUGGUAGUGGGGGAUAACGUCCGGAAACGGGCGCUAAUACCGCAUACGUGAUGAGGGAGAAAGUGGGGGAUCUUCUGACCUCACGCUAUCAGAUGAGCCUAGGUCGGAUUAGCUAGUUGGUGGGGUAAAGGCCUACCAAGGCGACGAUCCGUAACUGGUCUGAGAGGAUGAGCAGUCACACUGGAACUGAGACACGGUCCAGACUCCUACGGGAGGCAGCAGUGGGGAAUAUUGGACAAUGGGCGAAAGCCUGAUCCAGCCAUGCCGCGUGUGUGAAGAAGGUCUUCGGGUUGUAAAGCACUUUAAGUUGGGAGGAAGGGCAGUAAGUUAAUACCUUGCUGUGUUGACGUUACCAACAGAAUAAGCACCGGCUAACUUCGUG